rnacentral:lncRNA from 1 species
GUUUUUCUAGAAUGACCAAUAUUUGUUUUAUAUCUUCUAGGCCAGCUCCCAUAGUGUGACGGGCGGUGUGUACAAGGCCCGGGAACGAAUUCACCGCCGGGGAGCGUUCCGCCUUAGAAGGAAGCCCCCGCGCGAGCAGUGGAGGACGAAGCGGAAGCGAGAAUGUCGGCUUGAGUAACGCAAACAUUGGUGAGAAUCCAAUGCCCCGAAAACCUAAGGGUUCAUUGGUGCAGCAGAGUUGUAUGUGGAAACUA